UAGAAUGCAAGUCGAACGGCAGCGACAGAGGAGCUUGCUCCUUGGGUGGCGAGUGGCGGACGGGUGAGUAAUGCAUCGGGACCUACCCAGACGUGGGGGAUAACGUAGGGAAACUUACGCUAAUACCGCAUACGUCCUACGGGAGAAAGCAGGGGACCUUCGGGCCUUGCGCGGUUGGACGGACCGAUGUGCGAUUAGCUAGUUGGUAGGGUAAUGGCCUACCAAGGCGACGAUCGCUAGCUGGUCUGAGAGGAUGAUCAGCCACACUGGGACUGAGACACGGCCCAGACUCCUACGGGAGGCAGCAGUGGGGAAUAUUGGACAAUGGGCGCAAGCCUGAUCCAGCAAUGCCGCGUGUGUGAAGAAGGCCUUCGGGUUGUAAAGCACUUUUAUCAGGAACGAAAUACCACGGGUUAAUACCCUAUGGGGCUGACGGUACCUGAGGAAUAAGCACCGGCUAACUUCGUGCCAGCAGCCGCGGUAAUACGAAGGGUGCAAGCGUUAAUCGGAAUUACUGGGCGUAAAGGGUGCGUAGGCGGUUCGUUAAGUCUGUCGUGAAAUCCCCGGGCUCAACCUGGGAAUGGCGAUGGAUACUGGCGAGCUAGAGUGUGUCAGAGGAUGGUGGAAUUCCCGGUGUAGCGGUGAAAUGCGUAGAGAUCGGGAGGAACAUCAGUGGCGAAGGCGGCCAUCUGGGACAACACUGACGCUGAAGCACGAAAGCGUGAGGAGCAGACAGGAUUAGAUACCCUGGUAGUCCACGCCCUACACGAUGCGAACUGGAUGUUGGUCUCAACUCGGAGAUCAGUGUCGAAGCUAACGCGUUAAGUUCGCCGCCUGGCGGAGUACGGUCGCAAGACUGAAACUCAAAGGAAUUGACGGGUGCCGCACACCGUG
rnacentral:rRNA from 1 species